CAGUAGCCGCGGGAAUACGUAGGUGGCAAGCGUUGUCCGGAAUUAUUGGGCGUAAAGGGCUCGCAGGCGGCUUCUUAAGUCUGAUGUGAAAGCCCCCGGCUCAACCGGGGAGGGUCAUUGGAAACUGGGAAACUUGAGUGCAGAAGAGGAGAGUGGAAUUCCACGUGUAGCGGUGAAAUGCGUAGAGAUGUGGAGGAACACCAGUGGCGAAGGCGACUCUCUGGUCUGUAACUGACGCUGAGGAGCGAAAGCGUGGGGAGCGAACAGGAUUAGAUACCCCCGUAGUCCCUGUCUCUUAUAC
rnacentral:rRNA from 1 species